rnacentral:rRNA from 1 species
ACGAACGCUGGCGGCGUGCUUAACACAUGCAAGUCGAGCGGUAAGGCUCCUUCGGGAGUACACGAGCGGCGAACGGGUGAGUAACACGUGAGUAAUCUGCCCUUCACUUCGGGAUAACCACCGGAAACGGUGGCUAAUACCGAAUACGACCAGUCUUCGCAUGAGGUGCUGGUGGAAAGUCUUUUCGGUGAAGGAUGUGCUCGCGGCCUAUCAGCUUGUUGGUGGGGUAAUGGCCUACCAAGGCUUCGACGGGUAGCCGGCCUGAGAGGGUGACCGGCCACACUGGGACUGAGACACGGCCCAGACUCCUACGGGAGGCAGCAGUGGGGAGUAUUGGACAAUGGGCGAAAGCCUGAUCCAGCAACGCCGCGUGAGGGAUGACGGCCUUCGGGUUGUAAACCUCUUUCAGUACCGACGAAGCGCCCUGUCGGGUGGUGACGGUAGGUACAGAAGAAGGACCGGCCAACUACGUG